GAUGAACGCUGGCGGCAUGGCUAAAACAUGCAAGUCGAACGAUUAAAGCCCCUUCGGGGGUGUAUAAAGUGGCGAACGGGCGAGUAAUGCGUUUCUAACGUGCCCCGAGGUCGGGGAUAGCUGGGGGAAACCCCAGGUAAUACCCGAUGACCCCAUCGGAUCGCAUGGUUUGAUGGGCAAAGGCUUGCUGCCUCGGGAUCGGGAAACGUCCUAUCAGGUUGUUGGUGAGGUAACGGCUCACCAAGCCAGAGACGGGUAGCGGGUGUGAGAGCACGACCCGCCGCAUCGGGACUGAGACACUGCCCGGACUCCUACGGGAGGCUGCAGUAACGGAUAUUGGGCAAUGAGCGCAAGCUUGACCCAGCAAUGCCGCGUGCAGGAUGAAGCCCCUCGGGGUGUAAACUGCUGUCAGGGUUUAGGAAGCAAGUGACCAAACCCAAAGGAAGGGCCGGCUAACUUCGUGCCAGCAGCCGCGGUAAUACGAAGGGCCCGAGCGUUAAUCGGAAUCACUGGGCUUAAAGGGUGCGUAGGCGGAAACGUCAGUGUCUUGUGAAAUCCCACGGCUCAACCGUGGAACUGCAGGGCAUACUGCGUUUCUUGAGGCCGGUAGAGGUCGUCGGAACUCUAGGUGUAGCGGUGAAAUGCGUAGAUAUCUAGAGGAACGCCAAAGGUGAAGACAGGCGACUGGGCCGGUUCUGACGCUGAGGCACGAAAGCGUGGGGAGCAAACAGGAUUAGAUACUCUGGUAGUCCACGCCGUANACGUUGUGCACUAGAUCCGGGAGGUUUUGACGCCGUCCGGGUCGAAGAGAAAUUGAUAAGUGCACCGNCUGGGGAGUACGGUCGCAAGGCUAAAACUCAAAGGAAUUGACGGGGGCUCACACAAGCGGUGGAACAUGUGGCUUAAUUCGAGGCAACGCGAA
rnacentral:rRNA from 1 species